AUUGAACGCUGGCGGAAUGCUUUACACAUGCAAGUCGAACGGCAGCACGGACUUCGGUCUGGUGGCGAGUGGCGAACGGGUGAGUAACAUAUCGGAACGUAUCCAAUAAUGGGGGAUAACUAAUCGAAAGGUUGGCUAAUACCGCAUACGCCCUACGGGGGAAAGCAGGGGAUCUUCGGACCUUGCGUUAAUGGAGCGGCUGAUAUCUGAUUAGCUAGUUGGUGAGGUAAAGGCUCACCAAGGCGACGAUCAGUAGCUGGUCUGAGAGGACGACCAGCCACACUGGAACUUAGACACGGUCCAGGCUCCUACGGGAGGCAGCAGUGGGGAAUUUUGGACAAGGGGCGCAAGCCUGAUCCAGCCAUUCCGCGUGAGUGAAGAAGGCCUUCGGGUUGUAAAGCUCUUUCGCAGGGGAAGAAAACUUACUUUCUAAUAAAGAGUGAGGUUGACGGUACCUUGAUAAGAAGCACCGGCUAACUACGUGCCAGCCGCCGCCGUAA
rnacentral:rRNA from 1 species